GACGAACGCUGGCGGCAUGCCUUACACAUGCAAGUCGAACGGACCUAGCAAUAGGUUAGUGGCGAACGGGUGAGUAAUACAUGAGCAAACCUGUCUCAAAACAGGGGGAUAACACCGGGAAACUGGUGCUAAUACCGCAUAAGACCACAGCGCGGCAUCGCGCAGGGGUAAAAACGAUUCAGUGGUUUGAGAUGGGCUCAUGUCCCAUUAGGCUAGUUGGUGAGAUAACAGCCCACCAAGGCGACGAUGGGUAGCCGACCUGAGAGGUGAUCGGCCACAUUGGGACUGAGACACGGGCCCAGACUCCUACGGGAGGCAGCAGUGGGAAUAUUGGGCAAUGGCGAAAGCCUUACCAGCAAUGACCGCGUGAGUGAAG
rnacentral:rRNA from 1 species